rnacentral:rRNA from 1 species
UCGAACGAGAAAGUGGAGCAAUCCAUGAGUACAGUGGCGUACGGGUGAGUAACACGUGGGUGAUCUACCCUUUGGUGAGGAAUAACCCUGGGAAACCGGGGCUAAUACCGCAUAAGCUCGAGAGAGGAAAGCAGCAAUGCGCCGAAGGAGGAGCCCGCGGCCGAUUAGCUAGUUGGUGAGGUAAGAGCUCACCAAGGCAAAGAUCGGUAGCCGGCCUGAGAGGGCACACGGCCACACUGGCACUGAAACACGGGCCAGACUCCUACGGGAGGCAGCAGUGGGGAAUCUUGCACAAUGGGGGAAACCCUGAUGCAGCGACGCCGCGUGAGCGAUGAAGCCCUUCGGGGUGUAAAGCUCUUUCGGCAGGGAAGAUGAUGACGGUACCUGCAGAAGCAGCUGCGGCUAACUACGUGCCAGCAGCCGCGGUAAUACGUAGGCAGCGAGCGUUGUUCGGAGUUACUGGGCGUAAAGGGUGUGUAGGCGGUUGUUUAAGUUUGGUGUGAAAUCUCCCGGCUCAACUGGGAGGGUGCGCCGAAUACUGAGUGACUAGAGUGCGGGAGAGGAAAGUGGAAUUCCUGGUGUAGCGGUGAAAUGCGUAGAUAUCAGGAGGAACACCGGUGGUGUAGACGGCUUUCUGGACCGUAACUGACGCUGAAACACGAAAGCGUGGGUAGCAAACAGGAUUAGAUACCCUGGUAGUCCACGCCCUAAACGAUGCACAUUUGGUGUGGGUCAUUCAGUUGAUCCGUGCCGGAGCUAACGCGUUAAAUGUGCCGCCUG